rnacentral:rRNA from 1 species
AGAGUGGCGGACGGGUGCGCAACGCGUAUGCAACCACCCCCCGAUGGUGCACAGCCGGUGGAAACGCCGGGUGAUACGCCGUGCGGCGCGCGAGGGGCAUCCCUCGUGCGCGAUAGCCUACGGGCGCCGGGGGACGGGCAUGCGUCCCAUUAGGUAGUUGGCGGUGCAACGGACCACCAAGCCUACGAUGGGUAGGGGAUCUGAGACGGACGGUCCCCCACACUGGCACUGAGACACGGGCCAGACUCCUGCGGGAGGCAGCAGUAGGGGAUAUUGGGCAAUGGGGGCAACCCUGACCCAGCCAUGCCGCGUGAGGGAAGUAGGCCCUACGGGUCGUGAACCUCUUUUAUUCGGGGACAACUGCGCGGUCGGGAACCGUGCUUGAGGGUACCGAAGGAAUAAGCAUCGGCUAACUCCGUGCCAGCCGCCGC